UACAGAGGUCUCAAGUGUUGUUCGGAUUCAUUGGGCGUAAAGGGUGCGUAGGCGGCGCGGUAAGUCGGGUGUGAAAGUCAAAGGCUCAACCUUUGAAAGCCGGUGGAUACUGUGAGGCUAGAGUACGGAAGAGGCGAGUGGAAUUCCUGGUGUAGCGGUGGAAUGCGCAGAUAUCAGGAGGAACACCAAUUGCGAAGGCAGCUCGCUGGGACGGUACUGACGCUGAGACGCGAAAGCGUGGGGAGCAAACAGG
rnacentral:rRNA from 1 species